rnacentral:rRNA from 1 species
UUUUAUUAGGGAAGAUAAAUGAUGGAAAAAUCAUUCUGACGGUACCUAAUGAAUAAGCCCCGGCUAACUAUGUGCCAGCAGCCGCGGUAAUACAUAGGGGGCAAGCGUUAUCCGGAAUUAUUGGGCGUAAAGGGUGCGUAGGCGGUUAAAUAAGUUUAUGGUCUAAGUGCAAUGCUUAACAUUGUGAUGCUAUAAAAACUGUUUAGCUAGAGUAAGAUAGAGGCAAGUGGAAUUCCAUGUGUAGUGGUAAAAUGCGUAAAUAUAUGGAGGAACACCAGUAGCGAAGGCGGCUUGCUGGGUCUUUACUGACGCUGAGGCACGAAAGCGUGGGGAGCAAACAGGAUUAGAUACCCUGGUAGUCCACGCCGUAAACGAUGAGUACUAAAUGUUGGGUAAAACCAGUGUUGAAGUUAACACAUUAAGUACUCCGCCUGAGUAGUACGUACGCAAGUAUGAAACUUAAAGGAAUUGACGGGACUCCGCACAAGCGGUGGAUCAUUGUUGUUUAAUUCGAAGGUACCCGAAAAACCUCACCAGGUCUUGACAUGCUUCUGCAAAGCUGUAGAAACACAGUGGAGGUUAUCAGUUGCACAGGUGGUGCAUGGUUGUCGUCAGCUCGUGUCGUGAGAUGUUGGGUUAAGUCCCGCAACGAGCGCAACCCUUAUUGUUAGUUGCCAGCACGUAAUGGUGGGGACUUUAGCAAGACUUGCCAGUGAUAAAUUGGAGGAAGGUGGGGACGACGUCAAAUCAUCAUGCCCCUUAUGACCUGGGCUACAAAACGUGAUACAAUGGCUGUUACAAAGGGUAGCUGAAACGCAAGUUUUUGGCGAAUCUCAAAAAAACAGUCUCAGUUCGGAUUGAAGUCUGCAACUCGACUUCAUGAAGUUGGAAUCGCUAGUAAUCGCGAAUCAGCAUGUCGCGGUGAAUACGUUCUCGGGGUUUGUACACACCGCCCGUCAAACCACGAAAGUUGGCAAUACCCAAAGCCGGUGGCUUAACUUCGCAAGAAGAGGGAACCGUCUAAGGUAGGGUCGAUGAUUGGGGUUAAGUCGUAACAAGGUAUCCCUACCGGAAGGUGGGGAUGGAUCACCUCCUUUCUAAGGAAACAAUUAUCAUCUUCAGUUUUGAGAGACUUAAGAAAGUUUUUCAUUAUAACUUGCUUGCAAAUUGCAUUUGCAACAUUUUAUA